rnacentral:misc_RNA from 1 species
GAUGAAGAACGCAGCGAAACGCGAUAAGUAAUGUGAAUUGCAGAAUCCAGUGAAUCAUCGAAUCUUUGAACGCACAUUGCGCCCGCCAGCAUUCUGGCGGGCAUGCCUGUUCGAGCGUCAUUUCAACCCUCGACCUCCCCUUGGGGAGGUCGGCGUUGGGGACCGGCAGCACACCGCCGGCCCUGAAAUGGAGUGCGGCCCGUCCGCGGCGACCUCUGCGCAGUAAUACAGCUCGCACCGGGACCCCGACGCGGCCACGCCGUAAAACACCCAACUUCUGAACGUUGACCUCGAAUCAGGUAGGACUACCCGCUGAACUUAAGCAUAUCAAUAAGCGGAGGA